CAGUGACGUGAGAGAAAGGCAAGGAAUUCUCUUGUUUUUUUCCCCAAAUUUUCUUAAGUCUGCUGUCUGGAUGCAUGCUAGCUAAUUUCUGGUGAGCAUACAGAGUAGAAAAUUGUGUGUACGUACUCCCGCAUAUUGGAUUUUGAGGCAUCGGGAAAAUGCAGAUGGCUGGAGUUGUCUACCGCCGAUCCUCGUGAACGUGUUCAUUUUGCAGACAUAUGUAAAAUAUGACGGAGAGAUGAUCGUCAUGUCUUUGUCAUGUGAGACCGGUAGCAAGUAUUAGAGGGAGUCAUUAGAGGGAGUUAUUAGAUGGUAACCGCGCCUCCGUC
rnacentral:lncRNA from 1 species